rnacentral:misc_RNA from 1 species
GGAAGUAAAAGUCGUAGCAAGGUUUCCGUAGGUGAACCUGCGGAAGGAUCAUUAUUGAGAUUAUUCAUACACGUGAACGGAUUAUGCUUGGCGUGAGCGCGCUGCUUGCGCUGCUUGCGCCGAUAUUAACGCAUAUAAUUGUCUGAUAGACCAAAGAAAUUUUAAAACUUUCAACAACGGAUCUCUUGGUUCUC